rnacentral:rRNA from 1 species
CUCGUUGGCUGGGUGAACUUUGGUCGUGUCCCCGAGGGAUUUGCCAAUCGCCUCCGCCCGCGCGUCAAAACCCUAGCCGCCAGCCCUGCGCCCACUCCGCCUCGUUCUCCUCCCUCGACAGCGCCGCACCUCCUCCCUCAUUCCUGCUCAUCCGGAUAGCCGCCGGCUGCCGCAUCCCUUCUCCCCCUUCCUCCUCCUUCCUCCUUCCCGCUGGCACCGACGAGGGGGCCUCUCGCAUGGACGGCCGGGGCUUCAAACCAGGGGGGCCAAGAAAGCCGGCCGGCGGCGGCCGGGGCGGGCGCGGAGAGGGCCGAUGCGGCGACCGCGGGCGGGGCGGUGGCGGCCAAGGCCAGGGAGGACGAGCAGCAGCAGCGUCUCCAUGGACGCGGCGGCGUGACGGCUUCCAGGCACGGAUCCCCUCCUCCGCCUCCAUCCUCCACCUCUCCGGUCGCCCGGUUGCAACGCAGCAGCAGCUCCUUCCUACCUUCCAUGGACGAACUCGACGGAGACGCCGUCCAGCCCGACCACGGCCACGACUACCCCACGCACAAGAAAGGUAGUUAUUGUGAAUUGAUGUUCGCACUGAGGCUGGAGGCGAGAGGCGAGGGCACGAAGGUCGGCGGCAAGUGCUCAGGAGAGAAGAGGAAGGCGGUGGUGGCUGCGGUUUACACGAGAGCGAGGUGACCUGCCCAGAAAGAUCUGAGGAUGAAGAGAAGAUAUGGGUUAAGUUUCGGAGUGAUUCAGUUGGUCAAAAAUAUGAAACACAUCAAAGGGGCUUGUUGCUUGGCUGCUAUGGAGAAGGGUAUUCUUUGAAGGAGUUGUAGACCUUUUGGAUAUGCUUCAAUUUGGACACUUUUUCAGUAUGUAUAUGAUAUGGGCAGGAAAUGAAAAACUUAAUGUGGCUGGAGUUCUACGCGGAUUAAAUCUAAUUAUCCUUAUAUUUCAACUCCAAUGACCCGGCCUCACAUGAAUGCGGUUUUGGGCAUGUGUUUCGAUUCAUUCGGUUUCGACGGAAUCAAAGGUGCUAGCUUUCAUGGCUAGGAUUUUUUUAGCAUAUUCAAAUCUGUAUUAGAAUAAGGUUUCCCCCUUGGAUGUUCCUUAUGUAUCCAUAUAUUAGAUUUUUGUGUGGUUCAUUUGUUGCAAAUAUAUAAAUAAUAAUCUGAUUGACUAUAUGCAGAUUUGGUUUGAAAUCUUAAAGCAGUCUCUGACAAGUUGUAGGUGAAGAAGAUCAUGUCCUAGGAGUUAAAUGCACGUGGAGUACAUUUAUUGUAUGCAUUUUGUUUAGAAGUAUUCAGUUUCAUAGCAUAAUCAAGUGUUUUUCAAUACUCUCUCUCUCUCACACACACACAAAAUGUCUUUAAUUUCUGUUUUUUUAAUGUAUUGGCCUCUGAAUGAUCUUCAUGGUAUAUAUCUAUAUCGUUGAAUGACCUCGACUUGUACCUUUGUGGUUUGCAAACACUAAAACAUGUGUUGCUACAGAGUUAUCUUAGUUUUGACGUUGAUCGGUGCAGGUGGGUUCUCAUGGUAGGAUUUGAUCCACUCGGAUAUCAAUGUUGAUUGCACAUGUGGAGGGCUUCUGGAUGCAUUUAUUGUCUCAUGUCACAAGGAUUUACAACUUUUACGAGAAUGCAGGUGUAGAGUAUUGAUAAUUCCAGAUAGUUCACUUCCCACAAUAGAGCACCCUACAGUACUAUCAAUUAUUCAGUCAGAGAACCACACUAUGCUGAAUAUAUUGGUGGAUCAGGUACAUCGAUAAGCACCCAAUGUUCAGACAGAUGAAGAGAGUGAAAAUAUAUUGGUGGAUCAGGUACAUUGAUAAGCACUCAAUGUUCAGUCAGAUGAAGAGAGUGAAAACAGCGUUUACUCUGAAUUUUCAGACAGAGUGGCGAUGCAGCUGGAAGUUUGAGGCACUGGAUUCCCCCUGACCGAGGAACAAUCAAGUUAAAUCUAGAUGCUUCAUUCUUUGCUCAGACUUGGAGGAGCUAUAUCGGGGCCAUCGCCGGGGAUUUUUUUUGGUGUUUCUUCUAUUUAUCCAAGAGCAUUGACAAAUGUAGUUCUGUGGAAGAGGCUGAGGCUCAGGCGAUGCUAGAUGGAUUGACAGCUCUGACAAUUAUGUACAACAAUGUCUGUUUCCCAACUUCAUGCGACAUUAAGACCAGCUCUUCUGUUCUUGUCCAAGUCCGGGCAGCAGAACCAGUAUACCAUCGCCCAUGCCCUUGGUGUGUGUGUGCCAGAACUAAAGAGAACAUACUCAAGAUUGCAGAUAUCCCAGCGGAGUUACAUGGGGCAGUUAAAUCUGAUUGUAAACAAGGUUCCUGAGUAGUUUCUACUCUGUAUCUAAAACAUGCAUCCGAUGGAAAAAACUAUUAAUAUUGCAAUGUAUUUCAGGAAGCGGAUUAUGAGCACUCGGGUGCUCUACCCCCCUGCAUAGCACCCGAGAGCUCCUAUGCAUUUCCGUGCAUUUCACUCCUUUUGUCAUGAAAGUAGAUAAGGCCUCACCGGUUCGGGUGUGACCGUGCUGUUGUGUCGCGUUCGUGUGAUUUGAUUUCUUAGCUGUGUUCUUAAUAUAUUGAUAGAAACACCAAUUUCUAAAGCAAAAUAAGGC